AAAAUACCUGAUCUCGUACGAUCACCGAUGUUAAGCAACGUCGAGCCUAGUCAGUACCUAGAUGGGUGACCGCUUGGGAAUAACAUGGUGCCGUCAG